UGCAGUACUUCAUUGGUGGGUGGACAAGUUAUAAGCUUCAUCUGAGACCAUUCAACUUGUUUUGUUUGAUGCUUAAUACUCUUAAGUCGAACAUGAAAGUGAAUCUGUGUUUCUGCUUUAAAAUGAGUGACUUAUUCAAAACUAAAACCACUUAUUAUUGUUACUGUAGCUUUUGAUAAGGUUUUGGCUGAUACCUGCUGUUACUUCUGUCUGUGUUGUGUGAGUUAAAAUGCUGCUUUUAUUUCUAUGUUAACAAGGAGCUCUUCCAUGAUAGUAGGUAUUUUAGAUGUUGUAGUUACAGAAUAGACAUUUGUACUGCACAGUGAACACCCAAGUGUGCUUUGUAGUUCCCUUGGUUUCAAUUCUGUGCUAGAGGAAUCUGUACUUUUCCUCUGCAUUGGAAGGAUUUGCAUUCCUUUUACAUGUAUUCAGAAGGACAGUACAUUU